rnacentral:lncRNA from 1 species
AGCAAUUAGGCCACUGGAAAAAACAAUCCAACGGUUUGUUGCUUCCAGUGCUCCCAAGGUGUUAAAUGUUGUUCCUUCCUUGAGAGCAUCGAUAUUCCGUGCACGUUGUGCGAGUUAUUGCCGUUUUGCUUUCCUUUUAAAACCCAGGUCCUACUGCUUUCACCCUAUAUCUCCCUCAUCAUCACCAUCAUCCUUCCCCUUGCUCGAUCACCUUCCUUGUUCUCAUCAACCACAAAGCUGUGAACUCAUUC